UUUGCUUCCCAGCUAGGCCAAUAGAGGGCGCAAGAGAGAACGCGGCUCCGAAGCUUUAUCUGAAGGCUCCUUUUUCCCAUCAGAAGAUACAUCCCCUAAAUUAGCAAGAUCGGUCUCAUCGCCCACUGAACUACCACUUUCUAGUAGUGCUGCAGCUUCUUCCUCAUCAACAAGCAGUUCAUCUUCAGAUUCAAGAAGCAUGCUGGGCUCCUGUUCUGUCUGGUCAUCCUUGGUGUCCUUCUCACCAUCCUCACCCGACUUCUCUUCUUGUUCUUUACCCUCAGCUGGACUCUCAGUCUUCUGAGCAUCAGUUUUGGACUUCUUAUCACUUGGAGAUUCUUUUCCAUCUGGAGAAUAGGAUCU
rnacentral:lncRNA from 1 species